UACGGGGGGGGCAAGCGUUGUUCGGAAUUACUGGGCGUAAAGGGCGCGUAGGCGGCCUUCUAAGUCGGACGUGAAAUCCCUCGGCUUAACCGAGGAACUGCGUCCGAUACUGAAAGGCUUGAAUCCGGGAGAGGGAUGUGGAAUUCCAGGUGUAGCGGUGAAAUGCGUAGAUAUCUGGAGGAACACCGGUGGCGAAGGCGGCAUCCUGGACCGGCAUUGACGCUGAGGCGGCGAAAGCUAGGGGAGCAAACGGG
rnacentral:rRNA from 1 species